rnacentral:lncRNA from 1 species
GUUUCACUUGCUCCCAAAAAGGAAGGCAAGUUUUCCUGCUUCCAUGAUGAAGAGUGCAGGUAACUCCUUUCUGGAAUUUCAGCUCACUUCCAACAGGGAAGGCGAGUUUGAGUUUUUUCCUGCUUCAAAGAUGGUAGAGAGCAGUGUUCAGCCUGAGCCCCAUUCCUAGAUUCUGAAGGAAACAGACAGCACAACAACAACAGCCUCUCUCAGUCCUCACCCAAAUCUUUCUUCUGAAAUUGGAUGCUGAUGGCCACCAAACACGUUUUUAAAAGACCAGUGCAGUUUGAAGAACAGGUCAGAAAGUCUGCCUUCGCUGAAAACUCAUUCGCUGGGAGUUGCAAUGAGCAGAUAGGACACACCCAGAAUUCGCCUGAAGGGGAGGGCUGCAGCCAGGGCGGAGACCAGAUGUGUGGGCACAAAGAUGUAGGCGAAUAACAUGAACAUUGCUUCAUCUUUGUUCCACAAGUUUCUGAGACAGCACCGGAAACAUGUGGAAUUAACAACGUGGACACCUUAUGUGGCACAGCUGUUACGCUUUGAGGAAAGGCGAUUGCUGGUAAGUUCUUCAGGAAGAAACACCUUCAAAAUGGAAAACAGCUGACAUCAAUUAACUUCUGGCUUUUCUGUAAUUUUGUAUGCUGGCCUAUAAUCGUAAAGUAGCAAACAUUUUCAGGUACUGCAACACAUCACUCCGUCAAAACAUAUUACUCCACAAUGAUACAUACAAACUAUGAACGCAGUCAGAAUGAUUUUAUUGAAAUGUUUUAGUACAGUGUUAGAGGAUCUUAAAAU